AAGGGAGACCUAAUUCAGGUAUGGGACGAAAAAAGAGUAGUCGCUACCAAGGAUCAAUCCCAAAAGGUCGGAGCGAGGUAUGAGGCUUUCAAACUAGGUUCUGGGUUCAAACAAGACCUGAAUCAGGAACAAGGGCUAUUAGCUCAGGUGGUUAGAGCGCACCCCUGAUAAGGGUGAGGUCCCUGGUUCGAGUCCAGGAUGGCCCACCUGCACAGGUGGCAAAAACAAGAGAAGCGAGGAAUCAGCACCUUAUCUUAUCUAUAUAUAAGAGAGAAUGCUGGCUCUGGGUAAAGAGUCCAGAGGAACCUUGAAAACUGCAUAGAGCUAGGUGAAAAAGCCAAAAAAGAAGACCGCAA
rnacentral:tRNA from 1 species